CAUCCGAUCGAUCAGAGCGUUCACGAAAUCCUUCACCAGCUCAAAGUUCUCCGGACCUACACUCUCUGAGCCGUCGAUGAUAAAGACCAGCUCCAGAGGACCCGUCCUGCAUUUCAGACCACAUCCUGAGAGAAAACACACAACAAGAAUACCUCUCCCGGCUGAGCCCUCUGGACCUCGAGCACCAGGUACACCCACCUCACCCUAACAUAUGAACAGAAUAUAGAAACGCCAGAUCCGUCUUCACCUGGGAUACCAGGAAUACCAGGUGAUCCGUCUGGGCCUGGUUCUCCCUAAAGUCAUAAAACCAAUAUAUAUCGCCGGUGUUUACUCAAAUGAAAAUAUAGAAACAGAUCAUAUUUUAUUUAGAAUGUAAGGACAUUGAAAUUGUACAUACUUUUGGUCCUGGUUCUCCCAUUCCUCUCUCACCUUGUGGUCCAGGUUCUCCUGGAAAGCCCUGAUCACCCUGCAAUCAAAUGUGUAUAUAUUGUAUAUUUACAAAAUUAAAUUUUCAUAAUUAAAAAUUUCAAAAGUUUCCAUUUGAUUAAAAAUGUAGCACUUUUGUUACAUGCUUUUGUCAAUGUUGUUUGUUUAGCUUAAUUUUUUUUUUAAUUCAGCUUUAUUUUUAGUCAUUUUAGAACUUCAGCUCAUUCAUUUCUGUUAGGUGCCAAGGCAACAUUUCACAUUUUUGUAAAAAUACAAAAAAAUCACUUUAAUCACCAAAAUGUUUCUUUUUGAGUGAACAUCACUUAAAUGUGGUUUACUUAUGAUAAUAUGGAUUGAAAGUACUUCUUAAGAAUACUCUCUAAAGAUACAUCUUUGCACACACACAC